CCCUUAGAUGUCCUGGGCUGCACGCGCGCUACACUGAUGUGUCCAGUAAGCACCUAACCUCUUCCGAAAGGAACGGGUAACCUUUGCAAAGCACAUCGUGAUGGGGAUAGAUUAUUGCAAUUAUUAGUCUUGAACGAGGAAUUCCUAGUAAGCACAAGUCAUCAGCUUGUGUUGAUUACGUCCCUGCCCUUUGUACACACCGCCCGUCGCUCCUACCGAUUGAAUGUUCCGGUGAGCUCUUCGGACUGCGCGGUCUGCAGUUUCUGCGUUCUGUGCGGAAAGUUGCGCAAACCUUAACAUUUAGAGGAAGGAGAAGUCGUAACA
rnacentral:rRNA from 1 species